ensembl:snoRNA U3 Small nucleolar RNA U3
AGGGCUGUGCUUGCAGAGUUCACGUCUCCAGCUCUCUGCUGAGGCAGUUUCUCUGAUCGCGCAGAGCUAGAUGCCAGGAGCGGGACCUGGCGUGCUCUUUCCUGAGCACGAAGCCAGCUCUCAGAGGGGCUUUGUUGCACCUGCCAUUCGGCAUUGAUGAAGAUCUUCUUUUCCUCCGGGAGAGUAAGAAGAGGACACAGUCCAAGUGGU